AAGACUAUACUUUCAGGGAUCAUUUCUAUAGUUAAUGACUUGAGAAAUGUGUUUCUAAAGUGUCUGGUCUCACUACCCACGAUGAUGAGUCAUGAUACUCCUUUCUGAGCAUGAAGCAGGCAGAGAGAAAUGAUUCAGUUCAUACGUUCUCUGUCAUUGAGGAUCGUUCUUGGUUCUUUUAAGAGCUUUGAGGAAAGGAAUAUGAUCAGAGUGGUA
ensembl:snoRNA small nucleolar RNA U3